GGAGAAGGGAUUUCAACUCCCAUCUCUCAGAUGCCAUGGGCCAGUGAGAGAGAAAGAGAGUGAGAAUGACUCUGAAGCCUUGUCAUUAGGGCUAGGAGGUGGGAGAUCCAGGGUGUAGUCUCCAUGCUCCAAUCACUCUUUCAGUAUUUAUCCAUAGUGGAACAGCUUCAACAAGAGAGACUCGGAGACCCCCACACCAAAAGAUCCCGUAGCCCACUGGUUAGAGUGCUCACCUGAAAAGACUUCUGUGCAAAUCCCUUUUCCCCUUCUGGCAGAGGUGGGAAUUGAGUGAAUCUGGAUCUCCCACAUCCCAGUUCCAAUCCAUUCUUCAUUGGAGGAUGGGAGGAGGGGAAGAGCCAGGAGAUGGGAUGGUGGGGGAGUUCAGUUUCUUCUGUCUCCUGAAAAAGGAAGAGAGGCUGAAUUCAAGGCUGGUGUGAAGUUGCUUCAUUGGCUCCCCAAGGUCUGAAAUUUAGAAUCCACAGGCUUCAUUCUUAACCAGCUGAAGCAAGAAGGUGGGUCCAAGGGCAUUAUCACCUUGUGUCCUGAACAGCCAUGAUGCUUUGGGCAAAGCCACUAUUUUAAUGUGAAAAAGUUUUUUAAUCCAUUGGACCAUAUGUGCAUUGAAGCAAUAUUCAUACACCUUUUUUAAUAAAGGUCAACCUAAAGUC